UACGUAGGGUGCGAGCGUUGUCCGGAAUUAUUGGGCGUAAAGAGCUCGUAGGCGGCUCGUUGCGUCUUCGGUGAAAGCUCGGGGCUUAACCCCGAAAUUGCCGAGGAUACGGGCGAGCUAGAGUCAAGUAGGGGAGAUCGGAAUUCCUGGUGUAGCGGUGAAAUGCGCAGAUAUCAGGAGGAACACCGGUGGCGAAGGCGGAUCUCUGGGCUUGUACUGACGCUGAGGAGCGAAAGCGUGGGGAGCGAACAGG
rnacentral:rRNA from 1 species